rnacentral:tRNA from 1 species
UCCUUGGUGGUCCAGUGGUUAGCCCUCUGUGUUCCCAGUGCAGUGGGUCCGGGUUCAAUCCCUGGCCAGGGAG